rnacentral:tRNA from 1 species
GCCGGGGUGCCCGAGCGGCCUAAGGGGGUGGGCUUGAGACCCACUGGGGGUUCUCCCCGCGCGGGUUCGAAUCCCGCCCCCGGCGCCA